GGCAGUUCUCAGGUGAUGCACCCCAGAAUCAGCUCCCUCCUCUCUCGUUCCGAGGUGCGUCACCUGAGAACCGCU
rfam:Myotis brandtii contig245371, whole genome shotgun sequence.